rnacentral:rRNA from 1 species
UGGGGAAUAUUGCACAAUGGGCGCAAGCCUGAUGCAGCCAUGCCGCGUGUAUGAAGAAGGCCUUCGGGUUGUAAAGUACUUUCAGCGGGGAGGAAGGGAGUAAAGUUAAUACCUUUGCUCAUUGACGUUACCCGCAGAAGAAGCACCGGCUAACUCCGUGCCAGCAGCCGCGGUAAUACGGAGGGUGCAAGCGUUAAUCGGAAUUACUGGGCGUAAAGCGCACGCAGGCGGUUUGUUAAGUCAGAUGUGAAAUCCCCGGGCUCAACCUGGGAACUGCAUCUGUUACUGACAAGCUUGAGUCUCGUAGAGGGGGGUAGAAUUCCAGGUGUAGCGGUGAAAUGCGUAGAGAUCUGGAGGAAUACCGGUGGCGAAGGCGGCCCCCUGGACAAAGACUGACGCUCAGGUGCGAAAGCGUGGGGAGCAAACAGG